rnacentral:rRNA from 1 species
GAUGAACGCUAGCUACAGGCUUAACACAUGCAAGUCGAGGGGAAACGAUAGAGAAAGCUUGCUUUUUCUAGGCGUCGACCGGCGCACGGGUGAGUAACGCGUAUCCAACCUGCCCAUCACUUGGGGAUAACCUUGCGAAAGUAAGACUAAUACCCAAUGACGUCUCUAGAAGACAUCUGAAAGAGAUUAAAGAUUUAUCGGUGAUGGAUGGGGAUGCGUCGGAUUAGCUUGUUGGCGGGGUAACGGCCCACCAAGGCGACGAUCAGUAGGGGUUCAGAGAGGAAGGUCCCCCACAUUGGAACGGAGACACGGUCCAAAGUCCUACGGGAGGCAGCAGUGAGGAAUAUUGGUCAAUGGGCGGGAGCCUGAACCAGCCAAGUAGCGUGCAGGAUGACGGCCCUAUGGGUUGUAAACUGCUUUUAUAAGGGAAUAAAGUGAGUCUCGUGAGACUUUUUGCAUGUACCUUAUGAAUAAGGACCGGCUAAUUCCGUGCCAGCCGCCGCCGUAA